AGAACGAACGCUGGCGGCAUGCCUAACACAUGCAAGUCGAACGAGACCUUCGGGUCUAGUGGCGCACGGGUGCGUAACGCGUGGGAAUCUGCCCUUAGGUACGGAAUAACAGUGAGAAAUUACUGCUAAUACCGUAUGAUGUCUUCGGACCAAAGAUUUAUCGCCUAGGGAUGAGCCCGCGUUGGAUUAGCUAGUUGGUGGGGUAAAGGCCUACCAAGGCGACGAUCCAUAGCUGGUCUGAGAGGAUGAUCAGCCACACUGGGACUGAGACACGGCCCAGACUCCUACGGGAGGCAGCAGUGGGGAAUAUUGGACAAUGGGCGAAAGCCUGAUCCAGCAAUGCCGCGUGAGUGAAGAAGGCCUUAGGGUUGUAAAGCUCUUUUACCCGGGAAGAUAAUGACUGUACCGGGAGAAUAAGCCCGGCUAACUCCGCGCCAGCAAGCCGC
rnacentral:rRNA from 1 species